UAGGAAAAGAGCAGGGAUAACCACAGAGAGAGGAGACUGAUGAGCCUUUUAGAAUAGGUCUACCCAAGCUAGAAGCCUAAAACCCGAUGCCUAAGGAUCCUAUCUGCGAGUCUGUCUCCUGUGGUUUCUAUACCAACAAAUACCUAGAGACCAAUGGUUCCCGGCCAGAAUCUCAAGUUAGUAUCACCUGGGCAACUUUCAAAAUAUUCUGAUGCCCAGGACCCAUACCCAAAGAUUCCAAUAUGCAACUGAGGUUGAUAAUUACUACUACACAUUCUAAGAAGGCUUAAAAACCAGAAAAGGGGAAGAGAACUGGUUGGGAAAGUUAUUAAACAAAAUCAUUUAUAUGUUUUUCCAAACUAAAAAGGCAAUAGUGAAACUGGAAAUGAAUUACUGAAAAUGACUGAAAACUUUUAUGAAUAAGUUUAAUGUCCAGUGAAAUCUUUUUAAUUCAAACCUCACUUAGUUACGUUUUUUCCAUCUUCACUUUCUUUCUAUAUUAAAACUGUUACACUUAGUAAUUAGGUAGGGAAGUUAGUGUUUUCAUGUAUUUUUAAAACCAAAUCACAAACAACUCUUGAACUGUGAGUGUUUUUCAUUUAUUCAAGUAAGGGUGUUCUGACAAGACCUCUGACCGGGAACAAUCUAUUUUUCGGUCACUGAUUUUCUUCACAGUGUGUGCCUAAAAUUAAUACAGCUGCCCUUGAGUUGUUCUGUGGCUCAGAAUUUUCUGUAAGUCAGAUUGGCCUGAACCAGUGUGGUUUUCCUGUGCUGUUAUUAUUCACCUCGGUAACAAAUCAGGACACCUCCAAGCAUAUUAGUUUUGCAUCUUGAAAGCCAGUUUUGUCAAGGAUUUGGCAAAAGGAAUCACCUUCAUUAUUUCCCAUCUCCCAGGGAAGCCCAAUCAUUACUUUAAAAAAAAAAAAAGAAGAAGAAAGAAGAGCCACCCAGAGAAAAAGGUGAACAUCUGCACACAGAGCGCCCAGACGGCUCUUCCCAAGAGUUACCAACAAUUAUUUCUGGACCCUGAAGUUGCUCCUGGGGUUGCUUUUGGUCUUAUCACCAUGGUAUCAGGAAUCAGCACAAGUUGACCAGGCGAUCAACUGGAUGGGGAAGUAUACAGACUCAGCUUCUCCAGAGACAGCACACUGUUUCUCUUCUGUCCCCAGAACUUCACACCGGAGCUGGCAAAUAAUUGUCACCACCGAAGCAAUCGAUAAAUAAAUGAAAGGCAGUGAGGAAGCAAGGUGUCAUGAUGAGAACACCAUUCUGCUUGGUGGAUGUUUACAUCAUCUUCAACCCUUAUAAAUACACAGCCUUUCAAACCUGAGGAUUUAUGUCGACUGUAUAUUGCCUAGACGUGUCUCCCCAUGACAUUAUAAGGGGCUUAAAGGACAAGAGAUGGCUCACAGAAGGCAGAAAACAACUGACAGUUGAGUUUAUUUUUUAAACCAAAAAAAAAAGUCCAUGUUUUCAUUUAAUUUUAAAUGCUAACAACCAUAUUCUAGUCUUGACAUGCCCAUAAAGCUGUUUCAUCGCCCAGUAAAAAUAAUUUUUGUUUUAAAUAAUGUUCACCAUCCACCUCCUAACAUUCUGGAUGCCGAAGCAUUUUUCAUUCAGAGUAAUGAUCUUCAGGAGUAAAAAUAAUAUAAUUAUAACUGAACUACUUGGUCAGCUAAAUCACAACCAGAAAUGCACCGGUAUGUAUUUCAUUCGCUGUGUCAAAAAAUCUUCGUUCUGAACUAUCAACAUAGCACUAAAUUUUGAUCUGUCAUUGAAAACAGGUCGCUUCUAUUUCUGGCUUACGGCAUGGUAACAGGGUACAGCAACUGGCAAAGACAGCUAAUAUUUCACAUUCAAUCUCCCCACCUGACCUCCUGCAUCAAAAACGAAGGGCUCCAUGAAUAAGGAAUUAUUUAUUAUGUAAACACUUCCUCUUCUUCUUUAAAAAAACAAAUAAAACAAAAACCCUCUUAAUCAAAGCACAGAAAGAAAGAACAAACUAAAAUUCUUGGGAAGAAAAUUUGUUGUUAUUAGGAUGGCCACCGAAGGGUGUGGGCUGCAUCCUCUUAAAGACAGACAGGGAGGGAGAGGGACACUUACACACUCUCCAUGUGUAAGUAAGUGGUCCUUAAGACAAAGCUGGAAGAGGCAUUUCCAGUGGAGGGAGGACUGCAAGAUCAAAGGACAUGCCAGCCAGUUUGGGUGUGGCCUCAGCUGGCCCUUCGCUGGCCACUGCCACUGAGGGUUGGGACGAAGACAGAGGAUGACUCACAUGCAUGGUAGAAGAGAGGAACGUCUCCUGGGCUUCUCCUCCACACCUUGCUUUGGAAUCACUUGUGUUCCAUAUUUAAACCAUGUUUUUAUCUUUCUCUUAGUUUAGCUUUACACAAAACUUCGAGAAAAGCUUUGCAGAUACUUCCCCUCCUUUGCCCCCCAACGUGAGCCUGGGCAAAGUGACCCUCCCUUCCCUUCCUUCUAGUUGCCCCAUCUUCACACUUACCAUGGGGUUUGAAACCGCCCAAUUGGCGUUCCCUCCCACCAGGCCAGUGUUUCUCAACCUGGGAGCUUUUAAAGUAGUUUUAAACCUGGCUGUAGCCCCAGCAAUUCUGAUUUAAUUGAUCUGGGAUGAAAGUAAGGCACCUGGGGUGCACCCCAGGUGAUUCCAAUAUAUAUCAGGGGCUGAGAAGCCCCGCUGUGUAAGGCAGCUGAUCAUCUUCGAACCAGACCUAGCACAGAGCCUGCUCACUAAAUAUUAAUUGAACAGAUAAAACAUGUUGUCCAGUGACUGAAGAAGAAACUGGGGGAAAAGACAGGAGGGCCAUUCAGGAUGGGUUAUACUCUAAAAUAGUAUAAAAGAGUUUCUCAGACGUGAGUGCACCACAGGAUCACCUGGAGACCUUUUACAACUCAGACUGUGGGGACUCGGCCUGGGGUUUCUCAUUUAGCAGGUCUGGGGUGGGGCCUGAUAAUCUGCAUUUCUAACAAGUUCCCAGCUGAUGCUGAUCUCAGCACACUUCCAGAAGAGCACUCAGAAGACCAAAGCAGACUAGUAAUAUGAGAUUAGGUGACACACAGUAACACGUGAUAACCUGGAGCUGCAGGCAUCUCCGAUUAGGUGGCCAAGGAUUGUGAUACUUUCAAGGACAUCACAAGGAAGAUUGUACAGCUCUUUAAUCCUAUCUGACUGCUGGCCGCAGAGAGACCAGGACCAGGGAAAUCUCCCCUUUGGACUGCAACUCUAAUUAAACCAGCAAUCUUUAAUUUUCAUGGCUUAAGUAUCUGAAUCAUCCAUCACGAGUCCACGACCUUUCAGAAUUAAAGUGUGGCUAGCGAGAACAACAGACUACCAUCAACAUCUAAAUAAAAAUUACAGUACAACUUUCCUAGAAAUAAGGCCCAAGAUCAAAUUUUCCGAAAACAACCAAUGGCAGACCCAGGCCAGAAAACAAACCCAUGGCUGCUUGUUAAAUGAACUCAAGCACCAGAUUCUACAGCUGUAAAAAUACAGUGGUUUAAAUCCAAGCUUCUAAUAGCCACCCAAAUAGAUGCUAUACUAAAAUUACUCGGGGUGGGCAUGCUUUCUUCCACAACGGCCAGUUAAGACACUGCUUUCUUAAGAGACAAAAGCAAGGAAUAAAGAACAUGCCAAGUGCAUUAGGUUUUCCUAAGAGGGCACCCGUUGCUGGUUCCCAGUAACCCCCUAAUCACAUGGGCCACUAAACAGUGACACAGAUUGCACAGGCAGGGGUUCUGUCUCCAUCUCUAGCCAUCAGUCGUAUGGACUCCAGCCAGCAGUGAUAAAUCUGGGUGUCAGAUACUGAAUACUUUUGGGUUGUGAGACAGUCUUCAAGGAGUUUCUGGAGCAGAAGUAAACAGGAAAUUGUGGCCUCUAGAAACUACUCUGCUAUUACCAUGCUUCCCUGAAAAUAAGACAGGGUCUUAUAUUUAUUUUUCCCCAAGAAGACACCGAGGGCUUAU